CGGGUGGUAAUGCCGGAUGUUCCAGUUGAUCGCAUGGUCUUCUGGGAAAGCUUUCGCGGUAUGGGAUGGGGUCGCGUCCUAUCAGCUUGACGGCGGGGUAACGGCCCACCGUGGCUUCGACGGGUAGCCGGCCUGAGAGGGCGACCGGCCACAUUGGGACUGAGAUACGGCCCAGACUCCUACGGGAGGCAGCAGUGGGGAAUAUUGCACAAUGGGCGCAAGCCUGAUGCAGCGACGCCGCGUGAGGGAUGGAGGCCUUCGGGUUGUAAACCUCUUUUAUCGGGGAGCAAGCGUGAGUGAGUUUACCCGUUGAAUAAGCACCGGCUAACUACGUGCCAGCAGCCGCGGUAAUACGUAGGGUGCAAGCGUUAUCCGGAAUUAUUGGGCGUAAAGGGCUCGUAGGCGGUUCGUCGCGUCCGGUGUGAAAGUCCAUCGCUUAACGGUGGAUCCGCGCCGGGUACGGGCGGGCUUGAGUGCGGUAGGGGAGACUGGAAUUCCCGGUGUAACGGUGGAAUGUGUAGAUAUCG
rnacentral:rRNA from 1 species